CGCGUAGGCGGGAUGGCAAGUCGGUCGUGAAAUCCUUCGGCUCAACCGAAGGACGUCGGCCGAUACUGCCGUUCUUGAGGGAUGCAGAGGAGACUGGAAUUCCCGGUGUAGCGGUGAAAUGUGUAGAGAUCGGGAGGAACACCGGUGGCGAAGGCGGGUCUCUGGGCAUCUCCUGACGCUGAGGCGCGAAAGCGUGGGGAGCAAACGGGAUUAGAUACCCCGGUAGUCCACGCCAUAAACGAUGACGACUAGGUGUGGGGUGGUUCAGUCCACUCCGUGCCGCAGCUAACGCAUUAAGUCGUCUGCCUGGGGAGUACGGCCGCAAGGUUGAA
rnacentral:rRNA from 1 species